rnacentral:rRNA from 1 species
UACGUAGGGUGCGAGCGUUAAUCGGAAUUACUGAGCGUAAAGCGUGCGCAGGCGGUUUUGUAAGCCAGAUGUGAAAGCCCCGGGCUCAACCUGGGAAUGGCAUUUGGGACUGCAAGGCUUGAGUGCGGCAGAGGAGACUGGAAUUCCUGGUGUAGCAGUGAAAUGCGUAGAUAUCAGGAGGAAUACCGAUGGCGAAGGCAGGUCUCUGGGCUGACACUGACGCUCAUGCACGAAAGCGUGGGGAGCAAACAGGG